rnacentral:rRNA from 1 species
AACGAACGCUGGCGGCAUGCCUAAUACAUGCAAGUCGAACGCUACCGUCGGGUCUAUUGUCGCACGGGUUCGUUUCGCGUGGGAACCUUCCCUCAUGUUUGGCCUACCUCCCCGCAAGGGGUGCUUAUACCGGAUAAUGUCUUCUGCCCAAAGAUUUAUCGCCUUUGGUGGGGGCCGCUUUGGAGGAGCUAGUUGGUAGGGUAAAAGACGACCAAGGCGAAGAUCCAUAGCUGGUCUGAGAGGAUGACCAGCCACACUGGGACUGAGACACGGCGCGGACUCUUACGGGAGGAAGCAGUGGGGAAUAAUGGACACUGGGCGAAAGACUGAUCCAGCCAUGCCGCGUGAGUGAUGAAGGACUUAGGGUUGUAAAGCUCUUUUAACCGGGCUGAUUGUGACAGUACCGGGAGAAUAAGCUACGGCUAACUACGUG